rnacentral:rRNA from 1 species
CAGCCGCCACGGGAAUACGUAGGUGGCAAGCGUUGUCCGGAAUUAUUGGGCGUAAAGGGCUCGCAGGCGGUUUCUUAAGUCUGAUGUGAAAGCCCCCGGCUCAACCGGGGGGGGUCAUUGGAAACUGGGGAACUUGAGUGCAGAAGAGGAGAGUGGAAUUCCACGUGUAGCGGUGAAAUGCGUAGAGAUGUGGAGGAACACCAGUGGCGAAGGCGACCCUCUGGUCUGUAACUGACGCUGAGGAGCGAAAGCGUGGGGAGCGAACAGGAUUAGAUACCCCAGUAGUCCCUGUCUCUUAUAC